AGGUGCUGAUGCAUUAUAUCCUUGGCAGAGCAACCCAUCCCGGGCUCGUGGGUUCCCCUGAGCAGGUCAGUCACUGUUUGUAUCUGCAGAGGAAGCAUAAAUGGUGACUAUAUUACAGCAUUGUUCUUUGUCUUUAUUUUUAGGAAGUCAAGGCAGAUGCAGCAGUCGAGGCUGAGUGGGCAAGGCAAUUGACUUGGCUUAUGUCCAGCCCCUGUCACCAGCCAGCACAUGCACCAGGUUUCCUGCACAUGUGGGCCUUGUGGAAGUAUUACAGGACUCUGCGAUGAAGCCUUUAAAUUUUCUAUUUCACCAUUCUAUCUGGGUAGCCAUCAGGACCGGCCAAGGAGUUGUGGCAGACCCUGCGACAAUGGCGUCAGCCUCUGAGCACGGCCAAAGCGUGUGGCCCGAGGACCUUUGGCAUUCUUAAGAAUGUGAGCAAGAUACAACAGCCUGGUGCCACCAGGGACUGCUCAGAUGGCGAGGCUGCUUUCUUUUGCACCUGACACAGAUUGGCAUGCCCACCUGUCUGAGAGAUGAGUAGAGGGCUGCGACCCGCAGAGGGGAUGAAAGUGCUGAUGCAUUAUAUCCUUGUCUGGGCACCCCAUCCCAGGCUCGUGGGUUCCCCUGAGCAGGAAGUCAAGGCAGA